rnacentral:lncRNA from 10 species
UCAAUGAAUGGUUGCAUUUUACUGGAGUAAGGAAAACACUUUCUUUCAUCUUGUUCCCAUCUUUGCCUUUACCAGGAAAAUUGAAUAAUUUCAGUUCCUUCUCUCUCCUGGAUUUCUUAUUUGGGUCAAUUUAUGCUCAAACCUGUGAUGUGCUGGAGGAAGGACCUGGACCAUUUUUCUUACUCCUACAGAGAUGAUUUCAGGUAAUCGGUGGAAAAUAUUUCCAGCAGCAAAGAAUUCAAGCAGUUACCUGGCAGAUUCUGAAAGCAUAAACCACCAAAGUCAUUUUUCACAGAAUUAGAAGACUGUCAUAAUGGGAUCAGUGCCCUUAUAAGAAGACACCAGAUCUUCUUCCUUCUCUCUCUCUCUCUCUCUCUCUCUCUCUCUCUCUGUCUCUGUGCGUGUGAGAGCGCAAUCUCUUUAUCUCUCUCUCUCUUUCUCCCCCAUCUAUCCUUGCAGGUACUGAGGAAAGGCCAUGUGGGCAGGCAGCAAGAAGGCAGCCAUCUGGAAGCUAGGAAGAAAAUCCUUACCAGAACCCAACCAUUUUGGCACCCUAAUCUCAGACUUCCAGCCUCCUCGAA